UGGAAGCUAUUGCUGGAGAUGCUCUGAUACAAGCUGACUUUGCAAUAAAUUUGCUGAGCGUAAUCGAGCGCGACGCGGCUGUGCAGAAGAAGACGACGACUUGACCCAGCCCCUGUAUACCUUAACUUGGCCCUUAUCCCUCACCAGCUCGAUCGCGGGGAGGACGCCAUGGCACGGAGUCACGAGAUCCAAAAUUACCCACGGUACAAAGCAAACCUGUCCCACGCGUAACACGCGGUGCGUUGACGAUAUAAUGGUGUCUUAGCAUCUUCCUCCUCAGUUCACGACUCCGUUGGUCGAGAUUCAAGAACACCGCCUGUUUGUCUCGGAACCAGGUACCUCAGGUGGGACUCGAUCCGCUGUGCGCGAUUCUGCUUCCACUCCGGCCGGUGCGCUAGCCCCACCGCCACGGAGCUCCGGAAACAACGACCCUCAUGGCCUCGUCUGUCCCCGCACGUCUACAUGGCCUAGCAUCUCAUCAGGCGUGGUGCCUUGGCGUCACGACCCUGAAUGACAUAGUCAAUAACUUGAAUGUGAUGAAGCUAUUUGCGGCGUCACUACAUGUCAACUUGACAAUGAGUACAGUAUUUUUUGUGGCACCAAAAUAUAUCUUUCACAUAACGCCGAAGAUCACGACUGCGAAAAGUGAUGAUGAUCCAGGCGAUGACAUUUUUGGCCUUUUAUGUCUGCGAAAAGAUGAGAUCCCUUGGUGUAUGCUCUUUGCUGAUGAUGUAGUGCUAGUUAACGAGAGUAUGGCAGGGGUUAAUAGGAAGUUAGAGCUGUGGAGACGCAUGUUAGAGUCGAAAGGGUUCAGACUUAGUAGGACCAAAACCGAGUACAUGAUGUGCGAUUUCAGCGCGACUAGGCAUGAGGGGGGAGACGUUA